CCCUUAGAUGUUCUGGGCAGCACGCGCGCUACAAUGGUCUUCGCAAACGGAUGCAUUCUCGAAGGAGAAUGCCAAUCUUGGAAUCUAUGCCUUGGUCGGGACAGUUGCUUGCAAUUUUUCGACUCGAACCAGGAAUUCCUUGUAAUCGUGAUUCAUCACAUCACGAUGAAUACGUCCCUGCCCUUUGUACACACCGCCCGUCGCUCCUACCGAUCGAAGAGUUAGGUGAAUUGUUUGGAUCGAUAAGAUUUGACUAUGGUCAACUCUCGUUGUGAAAUUCUGUGAAUCUGACUGUUUAGAGGAAGGAAAAGUCGUAACA
rnacentral:rRNA from 1 species